rnacentral:rRNA from 1 species
GACGAACGCUGGCGGCGUGCUUAACACAUGCAAGUCGAACGGAAAGGCCCUGCUUUUGUGGGGUGCUGGAGUAGCGAACGGGUGAGUAACACGUGAGUAACCUGCCCUUGUUUUUGGGAUAACUUCAGGAAACUGGGGCUACUAUCAGAUAGGAGAUCCUGCUGCAUGGUGGGGGUUGGAAAGUUUCGGCGGUAGGGGAUGGACUCGCGGCUUAUCAGCUUGUUGGUGGGCUAGUGGUUUGCCAAGGCUUUGGCGGAUACCCGGCCUUUGAGGGUGACCGGGGACAUUGGGACUAAGAGACGGACCAGUCUGCAACGUGAGGCAGCAGGGGGGAGUAUUGCACAAUGGGCGGAAGUCUGAUGCAGCAACGCCGCGUGCGGGAUGCCGGCCUUCGGGUAGUAAACCGCUUUCGCCUGUGACGAAGCGUGAGUGACGGUAAUGGAUAAAGAAGCACCGGCUAACUACGUG